AGAGUUUGAUCAUGGCUCAGAUUGAACGCUGGCGGCAGGCCUAACACAUGCAAGUCGAACGGUAGCACAGAGAGCUUGCUCUCGGGUGACGAGUGGCGGACGGGUGAGUAAUGUCUGGGAAACUGCCUGAUGGAGGGGGAUAACUACUGGAAACGGUGGCUAAUACCGCAUAACGUCGCAAGACCAAAGAGGGGGACCUUCGGGCCUCUUGCCAUCAGAUGUGCCCAGAUGGGAUUAGCUUGUUGGUGAGGUAACGGCUCACCAAGGCGACGAUCCCUAGCUGGUCUGAGAGGAUGACCAGCCACACUGGAACUGAGACACGGUCCAGACUCCUACGGGAGGCAGCAGUGGGGAAUAUUGCACAAUGGGCGCAAGCCUGAUGCAGCCAUGCCGCGUGUAUGAAGAAGGCCUUCGGGUUGUAAAGUACUUUCAGCGGGGAGGAAGGUGUUGUGGUUAAUAACCACAGCAAUUGACGUUACCCGCAGAAGAAGCACCGGCUAACUCCGUGCCAGCAGCCGCGGUAAUACGGAGGGUGCAAGCGUUAAUCGGAAUUACUGGGCGUAAAGCGCACGCAGGCGGUCUGUCAAGUCGGAUGUGAAAUCCCCGGGCUCAACCUGGGAACUGCAUUCGAAACUGGCAGGCUUGAGUCUUGUAGAGGGGGGUAGAAUUCCAGGUGUAGCGGUGAAAUGCGUAGAGAUCUGGAGGAAUACCGGUGGCGAAGGCGGCCCCCUGGACAAAGACUGACGCUCAGGUGCGAAAGCGUGGGGAGCAAACAGGAUUAGAUACCCUGGUAGUCCACGCCGUAAACGAUGUCUACUUGGAGGUUGUGCCCUUGAGGCGUGGCUUCCGGAGCUAACGCGUUAAGUAGACCGCCUGGGGAGUACGGCCGCAAGGUUAAAACUCAAAUGAAUUGACGGGGGCCCGCACAAGCGGUGGAGCAUGUGGUUUAAUUCGAUGCAACGCGAAGAACCUUACCUGGUCUUGACAUCCACAGAAGAAUCCAGAGAUGGAUUUGUGCCUUCGGGAACUGUGAGACAGGUGCUGCAUGGCUGUCGUCAGCUCGUGUUGUGAAAUGUUGGGUUAAGUCCCGCAACGAGCGCAACCCUUAUCCUUUGUUGCCAGCGGUCCGGCCGGGAACUCAAAGGAGACUGCCAGUGAUAAACUGGAGGAAGGUGGGGAUGACGUCAAGUCAUCAUGGCCCUUACGACCAGGGCUACACACGUGCUACAAUGGCGCAUACAAAGAGAAGCGACCUCGCGAGAGCAAGCGGACCUCAUAAAGUGCGUCGUAGUCCGGAUUGGAGUCUGCAACUCGACUCCAUGAAGUCGGAAUCGCUAGUAAUCGUGGAUCAGAAUGCCACGGUGAAUACGUUCCCGGGCCUUGUACACACCGCCCGUCACACCAUGGGAGUGGGUUGCAAAAGAAGUAGGUAGCUUAACCUUCGGGAGGGCGCUUACCACUUUGUGAUUCAUGACUGGGGUGAAGUCGUAACAAGGUAACCGUAGGGGAACCUGCGGUUGGAUCACCU
rnacentral:rRNA from 1 species